rnacentral:rRNA from 1 species
UCCAGACUCCUACGGGAGGCAGCAGUGGGGAAUUUUGCGCAAUGGGGGAAACCCUGACGCAGCAACGCCGCGUGCGGGACGACGGCCCUCGGGUUGUAAACCGCUUUCAGUGGGGACGAUGGUGACGGUACCCACAGAAGAAGCUCCGGCUAACUACGUGCCAGCAGCCGCGGUAAUACGUAGGGAGCGAGCGUUAUCCGGAUUCAUUGGGCGUAAAGCGCGCGUAGGCGGCUGCCUAAGCGGAACCUCUAAUCCCGGGGCUCAACCUCGGGCCGGGUUCCGAACUGGGCGGCUCGAGUGCGGUAGAGGCAGGCGGAAUUCCUGGUGUAGCGGUGAAAUGCGUAGAUAUCAGGAGGAACACCGGUGGCGAAGGCGGCCUGCUGGACUGCGACUGACGUUGAGGCCCGAAAGCGUGGGGAGCAAACAGGAUUAGAUACCCUGGUACA